rnacentral:rRNA from 1 species
AUGGUGAUUGCGCACUGGAGACCCUACUCUCACCACCGAUAUAUAGGCGAUUCUCUCAUGGAUACCUUCAUUGGGAUCAAUUCCAGCUCCCAUACCGUUGGUUUGUUGGAGGACUGUCUUGUGCCCGUAGGCCGUCCAAGUGAGGAAAUCAUCUUCUCUUCGUUGUCUAACAGGGCUUGGUCCAACGUUUUCAAGUGGUUGCCAACGUGGUCUGUUGUUCCUUUGAGGCGUGUAUGCAAAGACUGGUGUGCACUAAUUAAGAGCGAUCAGUUAAUAAAGCUACACACUAUCCACGCAAACAUGGGCCUAAAGACACCCCAAAUCAAGUUAAUCUCGGCUGUCGACGCACUUUUCACGCCUCUAGGUCAGAGAGAGCUUCGGCAGAUGGAACUUGGGGCAUUCAUGAUUUGUGGCAGCAUGAAAGUGGUGUGCUCUAAGGCAUGCCAUGGUCUCGUUGUUGGUAGUUGCACCAUGCCGGGCUUUUCAUUUGAUUUCAUAUGCAAUCCUACCAUGGGUUAUUUCAAGCAGAUGGAUCUAGAUCCCGACGCGGACUCCACUUGUGCUGCUGGAAGGAUCGGACUAGGGUACGAUUCAAGUAUGAAUAAGCAUGUACGAGUACGUCUUGUGUACCAUGAGAGGAACAUGGGGACUCGGAAUUAUCCAUUGGGGUGUUUUUUCCAUCUCACCGACACAGAAACAUGGAGGCCAAUCAACCCUCCGCCCAGGCCAGUGGCCGAAAUGCAGCAUGUCUUUGUUGAUGGCACGCUCUACUGGUUGAUUGAUCCAAAUCUUGGGACAAAGUCUUCUCUAGGGUGUGAAAUGUUGGCAUUGGACAUUAGCACGGAAGAGUUUGAGGUGGUUCCAGGACCCCGAUGCAUCUACAAUCAGAUCACGUCCAUCGUCGAGCUUCAUGGUACUAUUUGCGUCGUGUGCUCGGAUAGGAGUGCGAACGCAAUGGACAUCUGGAUGUUGGAAGGCGACGUAUGGUAUAUUGGGUGUCGAGUAGAGCUCGGGGAGUUUUCAAACGAGUAUUCUCCAGAAGAAACUGCGCCGUUGACUGUCGAUCCUACAAACAAGAGGUUGUUGCUUAGCACAGGAAGGGCGAUAUGGUAUUAUUGUCCAAUGACAAAAACAAUAGAGACCAUUCACCGUCUGGCCGAGACUUGA